rnacentral:rRNA from 1 species
GACAGGUGGUGCAUGGUUGUCGUCAGCUCGUGUCGUGAGAUGUUGGGUUAAGUCCCGCAACGAGCGCAACCCUUAUUGUUAGUUGCCAUCAUUCAGUUGGGCACUCUAGCAAGACUGCCGGUGACAAACCGGAGGAAGGUGGGGAUGACGUCAAAUCAUCAUGCCCCUUAUGACCUGGGCUACACACGUGCUACAAUGGGAAGUACAACGAGUUGCGAAGUCGCGAGGCUAAGCUAAUCUCUUAAAGCUUCUCUCAGUUCGGAUUGCAGGCUGCAACUCGCCUGCAUGAAGCCGGAAUCGCUAGUAAUCGCGGAUCAGCACGCCGCGGUGAAUACGUUCCCGGGCCUUGUACACACCGCCCGUCACACCACGAGAGUUUGUAACACCCGAAGUCGGUGAGGUAACCUUUUUGGAGCCAGCCGCCUAAGGUGGGAUAGAUGAUUGGGGUGAAGUCGUAACAAGGUAGCCGUAUCGGAAGGUGCGGCUGGAUCACCUCCUUUCUAAGGAA